CUGGCGGCACGCCUAACACAUGCAAGUCGAACGCAGUAGCAAUACUGAGUGGCAAACGGGUGAGUAUAAUGUGGGAAUCUGCCUUUUGGUUUGGAAUAACACGGGGAAACUUGUGCUAAUACCAAAUAAGCCCUUACGGGGAAAGUUUUAACGCCGAAAGAUGAGCCCGCACUUGAUUAGCUAGUUGGUAAGGUAAAAGCUUACCAAGGCAACGAUCAAUAGCUGUUCUUAGAGGAAGACCAGCCACAUUGGGACUGAGACACGGCCCAGACUCCUACGGGAGGCAGCAGUGGGGAAUCUUGCACAAUGGGGGAAACCCUGAUGCAGCGAUGCCGCGUGAGUGAAGAAGGCCCUUGGGUUGUAAAACUCUUUCGUCGGGGAAGAAAAUGACUGUACCCGAAUAAGAAGGUCCGGCUAACUUCGUGCC
rnacentral:rRNA from 1 species